GACGAACGCUGGCGGCGUGCUUAACACAUGCAAGUCGAACGGAAAGGCCUCUUUCGGGGGGUACUCGAGUGGCGAACGGGUGAGUAACACGUGAGUAACCUGCCCUUUACUUUGGGAUAACUUCAGGAAACUGGGGCUAAUACCGGAUAGGAGCUCCUGCUGCAUGGUGGGGGUUGGAAAGUUUCGGCGGUUGGGGAUGGACUCGCGGCUUAUCAGCUUGUUGGUGGGGUAGUGGCUUACCAAGGCUUUGACGGGUAGCCGGCCUGAGAGGGUGACCGGCCACAUUGGGACUGAGAUACGGCCCAGACUCCUACGGGAGGCAGCAGUGGGGAAUAUUGCACAAUGGGUGGAAGCCUGAUGCAGCAACGCCGUGUGCGGGAUGGCGGCCUUCGGGUUGUAAACCGCUUUCGCUCAUGACGAAGCUUUGUGUGACGGUAGUGGGUAAAGAAGCACCGGCUAACUACGUG
rnacentral:rRNA from 1 species